UACAGAGGUCCCAAGCGUUGUUCGGAUUCACUGGGCGUAAAGGGUGCGUAGGCGGUCGGGUAAGUCUGACGUGAAAUCUUCAAGCUUAACUUGGAAACUGCGUCGGAUACUAUUCGGCUAGAGGAAUGGAGGGGAGACUGGAAUACUUGGUGUAGCAGUGAAAUGCGUAGAUAUCAAGUGGAACACCAGUGGCGAAGGCGAGUCUCUGGAAAAUACCUGACACUGAGGCACGAAAGCUAGGGGAGCAAACAGG
rnacentral:rRNA from 1 species